rnacentral:rRNA from 1 species
UACGUAGGGAGCAAGCGUUGUCCGGAUUCACUGGGUGUAAAGGGUGCGCAGGCGGGUUGGUAAGUCAGAGGUGAAAUCUCACGGCUCAACCGUGAAACGGCCUUUGAUACUGCCAAUCUUGAAUUCGGGAGAGGUUGAUGGAAUUCUAGGUGUAGCGGUGAAAUGCGUAGAUAUCUAGAAGAACACCAGUGGCGAAGGCGGUCAACUGGCCCGUAACUGACGCUCAGGCACGAAAGCGUGGGUAGCGAACAGG